AACGUUUCCCGAAAGUCAGAAGCAAGAUGGCAAGCUGAAGACAAUAUUGGGCCUCAAUUUUCGGACUAAAUAUCGGGCCCAGAUUAGCACAACAAACAAUUUUCUUUUCUUUUCUUUUCUUAAUAGCCCAAAAAGUCCCCAUACCAAAACAGAUACAGAAGAAUCACAGAUACGUCCACCCCAACAACCUUUUUCCCAUCCACACAGACUCUCCGACAACCCAUGUCCACCGCCACCGAGUCCCAACCACAACCACAACCACAACCACAACAACCGUUAAUUCCAUCUCUCCCAGACGACUUGGGCUUGAACAUCCUAGCUCGAAUACACCGGUGCCACCACCCAACACUGUCCUUAGUCUCAAAACCCAUCCACUCCCUCCUCUCCUCUCCUCUCUUCUUCACCACUCGAUCUCUCCUCCACUCCUCUCAACCCCUCCUCUACCUUUCUCUCCGCUCCUCUCUCUCGUCUUCUCUCCUCUGGUUCUGCCUCGGCUCCAAUUCCAAUUCCUCUCACUCCCUCUUCCCAAUCCCACCUAUCCCCUCUACUUCCACCGUUGGCUCCUCAAUCGCCUCACUGGGCCCCUCUAUCUAUGUAAUUGGUGGCUCCACCAACGAUGUUCCCACAUCCCAUGUCUGGAUUCUAGAUUGUCGUUUCAACACCUGGCGACCCGGCCCCAACAUGCGGGUCGCCCGCGAGUUUUCCGCUGCGGGUGUUGUGGAUGAAAACAUCUACGUCAUGGGUGGGUGUGUUACUGAUUCGUGGGCCAAGUCGGCCCAUUGGGCCGAGCGGUUUGACCCGAAGGUCCAGAAAUGGGAACGGGUCGAGAGCCCGGUUCUGAUCCGGGACAAGUGGAUGCACGCGAGUGCGGUGAUGGAUGGGAAGGUUUACGCGAUGGCGGAUAGAGGGGGAAUUGUGUACGACGCGAGAGAGAGCGCGUGGGGGCGCGUGGAGGGGGAAUUGGAUUUCGGGUGGAGGGGGAGAGCGUGCGUGGUGGGUGGGGUUUUGUAUUGUUACGAUUAUUUGGGGAAGAUACGUGCGUUUCACGCGCGGGAGGGCGCGUGGAGGGAGGUAAAGGGGUUGGAGGGCGGGCUUCCGAGGUUUCUUUGCGGUGCCACGAUGGCGAAUUUGGGAGGGAAGUUGGUUGUACUCUGGGAGGAGAAGGGGAAGAGAGAGAUGGAAAUUUGGUGUGCAGAGAUUGGUGUGGAGAUGAGGGAGAGUGGAGAGUUGUGGGGGCAAAUUGGGUGGGUUGAGAAGGUCAGAACCGUGCCCCGUGGAUCCUCCAUCGUGCAUUGCGUGGCCGUUGAGGUGUGAUGUUUUAAGCUCAAGCUGGAUGUGGGAACUGAAUCCCUCUGCAUGGGACUAGGUAAGGAGCUCAUGAUUCUAGCAUGCUCUAUUGGUUUCAGCAAUCAGAGGGAAAUCUUAGAAAAAGCUCCUUUCAAUUAGUGUCAGGUGCUUACUUAUUGUCUAAACUGCUCUUUAUAAGGAAAUCUUCUUGUGAUGAAAUGGGUUUGGAGCAGAAAUUUUGUGAUCAGCAUUUUGUCAACUGUAGAUGAAUUUACAGGAUCUGCAGCAAAAGAUUCCUGACGUUGAGUGCCAGUUUGUGCUGCAUUCUAACUGUACCAACUAUCCAUUUUCUCUCAAAUAAUCAAGCAUCUUGCAAGUUGCACUAUGUUUCCAGUUUCCACUAUGAGGAUUAUCCCUCGGUGCGAUGGCAAAUGCGCCUUCCACCAAAAGCGACGUGUCAUGGGUUCAAGUACGAUGGCAAAUGCGCCUUCCACCAAAAGUGACGUGUCGUGGGUUCAAGUACGGAAAUCAGCCUCUCCAUAAAUUGGAAAGUAGUGCUGCCUACGAAUCAGUUCUUCUAGACCCCGCAAAAGCAAAAGCUCUGAGAAUUGGGUACAACCCCCUUCUAUGUCACUGGAACUUGAACAUAAUUCAUUUGCAAUGUUAAAAGUGGAUGUUCAGGUUGAUUUGCUGGAUCA